AUUGAACGCUGGCGGCAGGCCUAACACAUGCAAGUCGAGCGAGCGGCGGACGGGUGAGUACUGUCUGGGAAACUGCCUGAUGGAGUGGGAUAACUACUGGAAACGGUAGUUAAUACCGCAUACCAUCAGAUGUGCCCAGAUGGGAUUAGCUAGUUGGUGGGGUAACGGCUCACCUUGGCGACGAUCCCUAGCUGGUCUGAGAGGUUGACCAGCCACACUGGAACUGAGAAACGGUCCAGACUCCUACGGGAGGCAGCAGUGGGGAAUAUUGCACAAUGGGCGCAAGCCUGAUGCAGACAUGCCGCGUGUGUGAAGAAGGCCUUCGGGUUGUAAAGCACUGUCAGCGGGGAGGCGUUACCCGCAGAAGAAGCACCGGCUAACUCCGUGCCAGCAGCCGCGGUAAUAC
rnacentral:rRNA from 1 species